rnacentral:misc_RNA from 1 species
AAAGUAUACAUGUUGACAGCUGUCGUGUAUUCUCUAAGUGAAGUUUUACAGAUUGUAAUAACGUCAUGAGAGUUUGACAGUUUCCAAAAUAAGUAAUUAACAUUUGCUGUCACACAUUAGGCUUCAAAAAUGAUACAGCUGUAGACUUGUAUUGACUUUGUUGAAGGAAAUUUGUUUUAAAGCAUCUUGAAGUGCUAUUUAAUAUGGGAGAAUGGUUGAACGGGGGAUUAUUCUACUGUUGCUGCUUGUAUUGCCAGGAUGGCAAGAGGCCUUGGGAUCGGUAUCAGUAAGGACUGUUGAAGUGGAUAUUGGACAGAACUUGACGGUGGCCUGCACAGACGAAAAUGUAUCUCGUCAUCCAGGAAAUUAUUCUAACGUCAUGUGGGUUAGGGAAGGAAGAAAGGAUGGACAAGCUCAAAGAAUGAAAAUUGGACCAAACAAAGCUCUUGUGUUGGUAAAUGUUAGUCUAGAUGAUGCAGGCAAUUAUUUCUGUACUCUAGAUAACGAUGCUAAUGCUGUGAGAACUAGGAUUAAUAUUCAAGUAAAGACACCUCCACCAGCACUUCAGAAUGUCUGGGUUAAACCAUCUACGAUAUUGGCUAAUAUUUUGUGGGAAGUAGCAGGAACUGGUGGUUAUCCCAUCAUUGAUUUCACUGCCGAGUAUCGUCUCAAACCAGCACCGGGUGAGCAACCUGAAGACUGGAAGCCUAUAAUACCGACGCACAUUCCGCCAAAUUCUAGGCAAAUAGAUGUCUAUCACUUGGAGCCUAACACGACCUAUUUGUUUCGUGUCUGGGCAACAAAUAAACUCGGUCGUGGUGAGAUAGUUGAAGUAGAAGGUCAUACUCAUCACAUCGUUGAAGAAUUAGAACUGGCGAAACAUCUUUUAGCGGGAGUGGAAAAUUUUGAUACCCGAAUUUGGGUGGCAGCAGUAGGAAUUGUUAUGGGAACACUAAUGGUCCUUGGUUUAGGUACAUGUUACCUGCUCUAUCGUGAGUGCAAGGCACCCUAAUGAAAUAUAAUAGUGCAAGAAAAUAGAAGAUUCCAUAGAAAUUAGAGAGCAUUGAGGCCUAGAUAAUGUAAAAAAAUAUUUUAAUAAUGUGCUACUAGUUGAAUCCCCUGGUCACUUAGUAGAAAAUAUAUCAAAAGUAGCACAUUACUUGUUGGGUGAUGCAGAAGAUCAACACAUCAGUCAGAGCGUUUUCAUCAAAUCUAACAGGAUUUUUUGUUGUUCACGCGAAAUACUUUGAUGCAUACACCCAGCGAUUUUUGACAAAAAUGAUGAUGAUGAAAUAAAAAGCCCAGUUGGAGGAACAGGAGGUGAUUGAACUUGUUCCAAAUAUUAUUCUCAAUCCAGGAUUCUUUGACGAGAGGACUGAGCGCAUGCAUCAGGACGAGAACUUCAAUAACCAAACGACCACACGACUGAAUAACAAC